UUAAAGGCUCUUUUCAGAGCCACCCACGUUUUCAUGAAGAGCAGCU
rfam:Pteropus alecto contig87826, whole genome shotgun sequence.